AACGAACGCUGGCGGCAUGCCUAACACAUGCAAGUCGAACGAGACCUUCGGGUCUAGUGGCGCACGGGUGCGUAACGCGUGGGAACCUGCCCUUAGGUUCGGAAUAACUCCCCGAAAGGGGUGCUAAUACCGGAUAAUGUCUUCGGACCAAAGAUUUAUCGCAUUUGGAUGGGCCCGCGUUGGAUUCGCUAGUUGGUAGGGUAAAAGCCUACCAAGGCGACGAUCCAUAGCUGGUCUGAGAGGAUGAUCAGCCACACUGGGACUGAGACACGGCCCAGACUCCUACGGGAGGCAGCAGUGGGGAAUAUUGGACAAUGGGCGAAAGCCUGAUCCAGCAAGGCCGCGUGAGUGAUGAAGGCCUUAGGGUUGUAAAGCUCUUUUACCCGGGAUGAUAAUGACAGUACCGGGAGAAUAAGCGCCGGCUAACUCCGUG
rnacentral:rRNA from 1 species